rnacentral:rRNA from 1 species
AGUGAACGCUGGCGGUAGGCCUAACACAUGCAAGUCGAACGGCAGCACAGUAAGAGCUUGCUCUUACGUGUGGCGAGUGGCGGACGGGUGAGGAAUACAUCGGAAUCUACUUUUUCGUGGGGGAUAACGUAGGGAAACUUACGCUAAUACCGCAUACGACCUACGGGUGAAAGCAGGGGAUCUUCGGACCUUGCGCGAUUGAAUGAGCCGAUGUCGGAUUAGCUAGUUGGCGGGGUAAAGGCCCACCAAGGCGACGAUCCGUAGUUGGACUGAGAGGAUGAUCAGCCCAACGAGAAGUGAGACACGGGCCAGACUCCAACGGGACGCAGCAGUGGGGAAUAUUAGACAAUGGGCGCAAGCCUGAUCCAGCCAUCCCAGGUGGGUGAAGAAGGCCUACGGGUUGUAAAGCCCUUUUGUUGGGAAAGAAAAGCAGAGGAUUAAUACCCAGCUGUUCUGACGGUACCCAAAGAAUAAGCAACGGCUAACUUCGUG